rnacentral:rRNA from 1 species
CUGGCUUUCGCGGCCGGCUGAAGUAUUUUUUUCACCCAUGUCUUUUGCGCACUUGUUGUUUCCUGGGCGGGUUCGCCCGCCACCAGGACCAAACCAUAAACCUUUUUUUCUUAUGCAGUUUCCAUCAGCGUCAGUAAAAACAAUGUAAUUAUUACAACUUUCAACAACGGAUCUCUUGGUUCUGGCAUCGAUGAAGAACGCAGCGAAAUGCGAUACGUAGUGUGAAUUGCAGAAUUCAGUGAAUCAUCGAAUCUUUGAACGCACAUUGCGCCCUUUGGUAUUCCAAAGGGCAUGCCUGUUCGAGCGUCAUUUGUACCUUCAAGCUUUGCUUGGUGUUGGGCGUUUUUUUGUCUCCCUCUUUCUGGGAGACUCGCCUUAAAACGAUUGGCAGCCGGCCUACUGGUUUCGGAGCGCAGCACAUUUUUUGCGCUUUGUAUCAGGAGAAAAGGACGGUACUCCAUCAAGACUCUACAUUUUUCACUUUUGACCUCGGAUCAGGUAGGGAUACCCGCUGAACUUAAGCAUA